rnacentral:rRNA from 1 species
GAUGAACGCUGGCGGCGUGCCUAAUACAUGCAAGUCGAGCGAACAGACGAGGAGCUUGCUCCUCUGACGUUAGCGGCGGACGGGUGAGUAACACGUGGAUAACCUACCUAUAAGACUGGGAUAACUUCGGGAAACCGGAGCUAAUACCGGAUAAUAUAUUGAACCGCUUGGUUCAAUAGUUAAAGACGGUUUUCUUGUCACUUUUAGAUGGUCCCGCGCCGCAUUAGCUAGUUGGUAAGGUAACGGCUUACCAAGGCAACGAUGCGUAGCCGACCUGAGAGGGUGAUCGGCCACACUGGAACUGAGACACGGUCCAGACUCCUACGGGAGGCAGCAGUAGGGAAUCUUCCGCAAUGGGCGAAAGCCUGACGGAGCAACGCCGCGUGAGUGAUGAAGGUCUUCGGAUCGUAAAACUCUGUUAUUAGGGAAGAACAAAUGUGUAAGUAACUAUGCACGUCUUGACGGUACCUAAUCAGAAAGCCACGGCUAACUACGUG